rnacentral:rRNA from 1 species
GACGAACGCUGGCGGCGUGCUUAACACAUGCAAGUCGAACGGAACGGCUCUGCUUUUUUGGGGUGCGCGAGUGGCGAACGUGUGAGUAACACGUGAGUAACCUGCCCUUGACUUUGGGAUAACUUCAGGAAACUAGAGCUAAUACCGGAUAGGAGCUCCGGCUGCAUGGUGGGGGUUGGAUCGUUUCGGCGGUUGGGGAUGGACUCGCGGCUUUUCAGCUGGUUGGGGGGGUAGUGGCUUACCAAGGCUUUGAAGGGUAGCCGGCCUGAGAGGGGGGCCGGCCAGAUUGGGACUGAGAUACGGCCCAGACUCCUACGGGAGGCAGCGGUGGGGAAUAUUGUACAAUGGGAGGAAGCCUGAUGCAGCAACGCAGCGUGGGGGAAGACGGCCUUCGGGUUGUAAACCGCAUCCGCCUGUGACGAAGCGUGAGUGACGGUAAUGGGUAAAGAAGCACCGGCUAACUACGUG